rnacentral:rRNA from 1 species
AUUGAACGCUGGCGGCAGGCCUAACACAUGCAAGUCGAGCGGAUGACGGGAGCUUGCUCCUUGAUUCAGCGGCGGACGGGUGAGUAAUGCCUAGGAAUCUGCCUGGUAGUGGGGGACAACGUUUCGAAAGGAACGCUAAUACCGCAUACGUCCUACGGGAGAAAGCAGGGGACCUUCGGGCCUUGCGCUAUCAGAUGAGCCUAGGUCGGAUUAGCUAGUUGGUGGGGUAAUGGCUCACCAAGGCGACGAUCCGUAACUGGUCAGAGAGGAUGAUCAGUCACACUGGAACUGAGACACGGUCCAGACUCCUACGGGAGGCAGCAGUGGGGAAUAUUGGACAAUGGGCGAAAGCCUGAUCCAGCCAUGCCGCGUGUGUGAAGAAGGUCUUCGGAUUGUAAAGCACUUUAAGUUGGGAGGAAGGGUAGUAAGUUAAUACCUUGCUGUUUUGACGUUACCGACAGAAUAAGCACCGGCUAACUCUGUGCCAGCAGCCGCUGUAA